rnacentral:rRNA from 1 species
GACGAACGCUGGCGGCGUGCCUAAUACAUGCAAGUAGAACGCACAGUUUAUACCGUAGCUUGCUACACCAUAGACUGUGAGUUGCGAACGGGUGAGUAACGCGUAGGUAACCUGCCUGGUAGCGGGGGAUAACUAUUGGAAACGAUAGCUAAUACCGCAUAAUAUUGAUUAUUGCAUGAUAAUUGAUUGAAAGAUGCUAUUGCAUCACUACCAGCUGGACCUGCGUUGUAUUAGCUAGUAGGUGAGGUAACGGCUCACCUAGGCGACGAUACAUAGCCGACCUGAGAGGGUGAUCGGCCACACUGGGACUGAGACACGGCCCAGACUCCUACGGGAGGCAGCAGUAGGGAAUCUUCGGCAAUGGACGAAAGUCUGACCGAGCAACGCCGCGUGAGUGAAGAAGGUUUUCGGAUCGUAAAGCUCUGUUGUAAGAGAAGAACGGGUGUGAGAGUGGAAAGUUCACACUGUGACGGUAUCUUACCAGAAAGGGACGGCUAACUACGUG